rnacentral:lncRNA from 1 species
GUGGGGACCCUCCGACGGUCAAGUCAGAGAGGAGACUAGGCAACAGUGAAAAAUCAGGGGCUCAGCGGAGGAGAGAGAGAAAGAGCUCAAGAGCUAAGAGGCGCCUCAAAGAACUUGAGAAAGCUUGCUCCCAAAAACUUACCAAGACUGUUGCCUUAUCCCUUUUUAUAGUAGAAUGCGGUAUGGUCCCGUCAUUAAUGGUGCAGACAACUGGAGAGUUGUCAAAUCGUCGGAGGUUGUCAAGUCACUGGGAUUAAUCUAUGUCAUUGGCA